AUUCCGAGGAUUGAGACCCCAGGUCAGGC
rnacentral:rRNA from 1 species